rnacentral:rRNA from 1 species
AAUUGACGGGGGCCCGCACAAGCGGCGGAGCAUGCGGAUUAAUUCGAUGCAACGCGAAGAACCUUACCAAGGCUUGACAUGCACCUGAAAAGGCUGGAAACAGUCUCCUCGCAAGACAGGUGCACAGGUGGUGCAUGGUUGUCGUCAGCUCGUGUCGUGAGAUGUUGGGUUAAGUCCCGCAACGAGCGCAACCCUCGUUCUAUGUUGCCAGCGCGUGAUGGCGGGAACUCAUAGGAGACUGCCGGGGUCAACUCGGAGGAAG